rnacentral:lncRNA from 1 species
ACUAGCUCUCUAAUAGAUGUGUAUAUUUGGUACUUUGGGAAUACAGGACCAGAUCAGGAACUUAACGCAGUCUGAGAGCAGCAGAGAAAUCCAGGCUCUUCUCAGGAUUGGUGAUGUCUGAACUGAUUCUUGAAGGUGGAGAAAGAGUUUUUCAAGCACACGUGGAGACUCCGUGAGUUAUGUGUCAUUGCCUCCACCUUAUAGAUAAGGAAAGCAAGGUCUUUCUCAAAGCCAUACAAUGGCAGAGCUGGAAUUUGAAUCCAGGUUGUCUAUGCCAAAGGCCGUGCUCUUUCCAGGAUCUGAGACUGCUUCUGGGAGAGAGGAUGGAGGAAAGGGCUGGAGAGUCUGGUUUGGAAGUCUUCAACCCAGAAAUGAUGUCUCAGUCUGCACUGCAUUUGUCUUAUUAAGACUGCACCCAGGUGUUCUUGUCGUGGUGGGACUCAUCUAAUCCGUUGAAGGUCUGAAUAGAAUGAAAAAGCAGAAGGACGGAUUUGUUCUCGGCUUGAGAUGGGACGUCCAUCUUCUCCUGC